UUGUGACUGGCUCAUUUCACGUCACAUAAAGUUUUCAAGAGCUGUCGUCUGCGUCUCUGUCGGCGUCAUCCUCAUCUUUAUCAUCUUCAUCUUCCUCAUCUUCAUCACCUUCAUCACCAGCCUUCGCGCACCGCCUCUGCAUCGGGCCCUGUGCUAAAAUCACAGUCAUCAUCCAUCUCACUUCAUCCUCUCAAUAACCUUGUGAGCUGGCACGAAGAGGUCUGAAGCACUUUGACCUAAAGGCAGGAGUGAGCUCUGGCAUUGCGGUAAGAACGCUGAGGCCCAGAGAGGUGAGCAACAUGGACAUGUCCAAGGUCACACCGCCUCCCAGACAUUGGCUGUGAGCCAUUGCCACCGUUACAGGAAGUGUUCUUGGAAAGCAAGCCAGCCGUGACUUCCUCGUAGAGAUCAGAGGAGCCACAAGAUCCCCAGGCCAGGGCAGAGGUCCCCACCCUGGAUGCUGGUGACACUUCCCCUAGGCGGAUGGGGCUGGGGCACGCAGGUCUCAGCCCUGAACAGUGUGUCCUCUCGCCUCGCAGUUCUUGGUAGACCGGGAACAGUCUGUCCUGUAGAAUUUCCUGUCACUUCUUCUCGCUGCCUGCUGGCCUCAGGGUUGCCACCUCGGGGCCUGACCCUGCAGAGGCUGGUCUCUGAAGCUCCCAGCAGGGGGUGGGGGUGGUCUUGGGGGCAUCCUGAGCUGAAAGGCCAUCACAGUUUACAAGCCACCUCCCCCUGGUUUGGCUGUCCCUAUAAACUAUUUCUUUUAGUCAGCUCAAAUGGUGCAUGGCGGCGUGAUAGAAGCAUAAAAUACAGAGAAACAGAUGAGUGUCCCACACCUGGAAACAGCAUGGGUCACAGCUCCCCUCUUCCCUCCACUCCCUCCUCCUCUCCCCUCACUUCCUUCCUCCCUCUUUCCUUCUUCCCACAAACAUUUAUUGGGCACCCGCUCUGUGCCAGCCACUCACAGCUCCGGGCACUGGGAACAAUAGUGAACAAGAUCAAGUCCCCGCUGUAGGGCCAUUUACAUUCUGGAGGGACUUUCUGCAUGUGGGUGUGGGGGGGUGUUGUUCGCCACAGAUGUGGUUGAUGGAGAACACAAGCUAAGAUGUUUUGUGAGCUCCUCGGGACACCCCCACGGAGCAAACAGAGGCCCGAGCACCCGCCGGGAGCGGGAUGGAACCCAGGCCGCCUAGCUGCGCUGAGCUGCUGCUGGAGGCCGUGGCAGCGGCCCCGAUGUUAAUAAAUCGCUUUCUC